AAUAGAUACCCGGGUAGUCCAUGCCGUAAACGUUGGGCACUAGGUGUGGGGCUCAUUCCACGAGUUCUGUGCCGCAGCAAACGCAUUAAGUGCCCCGCCUGGGGAGUACGGCCGCAAGGCUAAAACUCAAAGAAAUUGACGGGGGCCCGCACAAGCGGCGGAGCAUGCGGAUUAAUUCGAUGCAACGCGAAGAACCUUACCAAGGCUUGACAUACACCGGAAAAGUGCAGAGAUGUGCUCCCCGUAAGGUCGGUGUACAGGUGGUGCAUGGUUGUCGUCAGCUCGUGUCGUGAGAUGUUGGGUUAAGUCCCGCAACGAGCGCAACCCUCGUCCCAUGUUGCCAGCGGGUUAUGCCGGGGACUCAUGGGAGACUGCCGGGGUCAACUCGGAGGAAGGUGGGGAUGACGUCAAAUCAUCAUGCCCCUUAUGUCUUGGGCUUCACGCAUGCUACAAUGGCCGGUACGAAAGGGCUGCGAUACCGCAAGGUGGAGCGAAUCCCAAAAAGCCGGUCUCAGUUCGGAUUGUACUCUG
rnacentral:rRNA from 1 species